rnacentral:lncRNA from 1 species
CAGCUUUUUCCUUUAUUUAUAUCGGUGGAAGUGUAGAAAUUCCUUAUUUGACUUAUACAAAUGACCUCAAUGAUCCAACAUCACAGAAGUUCAUCCUGCAAACAAACACAAUCCAAAAUUAUGAACCACAAAUGUGGAGCUGGCCAUGAGCAUGAAAAUACCUGGAAGACAGCAAGACCAACACAGGUGUCCAAUGUAAGAUAUUCAGAGAACAUUGAUGCAGUAAGCUGUAAGACAAAAUUCAAGAAUGUGCAUUGAUGUCUGUCUAUUAAAGAACCAGAACAGAAUUUGGUGACUGAAAUUAUGUUAAAAG